GGUUAAAGAAAGCUGUGAGGAGGUUCUUUACGCGGCCUUUGAGAGAUCCAAAAGCACAGGCAGAAGCGGGAAGGAGACAGUUCAGUCUGAGCCACACAACCCAGCCUCCUCUAGAAAGCCAAGGUGGCUGGCCCACUCGAGCCUGGUUCCGUUUCUACUUGAACAGUUUACUUUUACCCAGGAGGAACCAGGGAGGCUCGUGAGAAGCCUUGCCAUUCUCAGAAAUCAGGGAACACGUUAAGACGUUUGCUAGGUGAGAAGCCAGGGAUACGGCACCGUGAGAUCAGGACGGCUGAGGAUCUGGAGUUUGAUAGCAGCCCGAGCUACAGAGUGAGAUCCUGUCAUAAACAAACGGACAACUGAAUGACUCCACUGGCUUUUAGCCUUCCCAGUAUUAGGUGAAUGUUGUGAUUGCUCAGAGUCCUCAUGGCAGCAGCAACGGUGUCUCUGUCAAGUCCUGUGGUGGUGCGCAUACAGAGUUGCUCAUCUGCCCCCAACCGGCCCUCGGCCCGCGCCUGGGCACGGAUGCCCUCAAAGAAGCAGCACCAUCUCAGGGUGCCCGCACUUACAGAGCUCAGGUUUACUCUCCACGGUUCUCCCAGAACAAAGCAGCCCUCAGUGCUGCAGGGCUGCCAUGCCCUUGUUAACCAGAACAUGAGGGCCGACCUCCCCUUCUUCGGACAAGCUGGACCACGUUGAAGCUGUAAACAGGCCCAUAAAUCAGCUGCCCUACAAUGGCAGAGUUCUUGCGAGCCCUCAAGCCCCAUAUGCAUUCCUCCUGGUUAAUGAAUACCGAGGUAGAGCCGCUGUUCUACUCAGUGGAAGCCGAGUUAGAACCAGAAGAUGGAUAUGUGAAAAUCAGCUGCCCAGGAAAACCAAAGCCACCGAAGGAAACUGACUUCAAAGGCCUCCAGUCUCCUCUACGCAAUGCUUUGCCAGCUGAGUAAUUUGUAUGACAAAGCAGAUGCGCAUGAACCCAGCCCUGUGAGUGCAUUUUGCUCCCGUCCCAGGUCGAAUAUCUGAAAAAUAUAUUCACCCGCAUAUUUCAAAAGAAAAGGAAUGCAGUGAACAUGCCCAGGUUGAUGGGAAGCUCAGGUCUGCACACGUGCUUCUGACAAGAUCAUCUGACAUGAGCCGGCCGAGAGUGCUCUCCUCAGCUCCAUGCUGCAAGCUAUCAGCCAGCAUAGGAAAUCUGAAGUGGCAAUCCCUUCCACAUCCAGGAAUGAAUUCCUGCUGUCUGCACCAUCCAUGGCUGCUCCUGACUUUGGGAGUUCUCAUGGACUUCCACAGCUAUUCCUUUUCCAGAAACAGGCCAGCGGAAGGCAAGACCAAAGCCCACCCUCUCUACCCAGAUUGCUACCUUUAAUGGAGAAAGAAACAUGCAUGCACACAGGCAAAAGCCUGCUCUCUCUCUCUCUCUCUCUCUCUCUCUCUCUCUCUCUCUCUCUC
rnacentral:sRNA from 1 species